CCCUGCCAUUUGUACACACCGCCCGUCGCACCUACCGAUUGAACGGUCCGGUGAAAUCUUGGGAUUUGUCGUAUGUGGCUUUAUUGUCUUGUAUGACGAAGAACUUGAGUAAACCUUACCGUUUAGAG
rnacentral:rRNA from 1 species